UACGUAGGUGGCAAGCGUUGUCCGGAUUUAUUGGGUUUAAAGGGUGCGUAGGCGGCCUUAUAAGUCAGUGCUGAAAUAUCCCGGCUUAACCGGGAGGGUGGCAUUGAUACUGUAGGGCUUGAGUGUAGUCGAGGUAGGCGGAAUUGACGGUGUAGCGGUGAAAUGCUUAGAUAUCGUCAAGAACACCGAUAGGGGAGACAGCUUACUAGGCUACAACUGACGCUGAGGCACGAAAGUGUGGGGAUCAAACAGG
rnacentral:rRNA from 1 species